UACGGUGAAUACGUUCCCGGACCUUGCACACACCGCCCGUCAAGCCAUGGAAACUGGGUGUACCUAAAGUCGGUAACCGUAAGGAGCCGCCUAGGGUAAAACUAGUGACUGGGGCU
rnacentral:rRNA from 1 species